CACAAAGAUCAUAAGUUCAAGGCCAGCAUGGGCUACCUAGCAAAAUCCUAUCAGAAGAAGAAAAAACGCAGUUGGAUGGUUGCCAUCUCUGUUUCUAGAGUCGAGUUUGGAGUUUAUGUCCAGUUGUCCCCUCAAAGCCUCAUGACAGCAGAAACUUGAAUCCCUUAUCUGGAAAGCUCCCUCCACGUGGCUUCCACCGACUGAAGAGGAAGAAAACAAGUUGACAGAAAUACUCAUUUUAACCAAUAGGAGUCUACCAGAAUUUUUACUGAGAUGGAGAAGAUAACUCACGACUUCGGCUUUUGUCUUCUGAAAUUGAAAUUCCUUCUGCACCAUAACGCUUACAUCAGGAUUCCAGGUGUGCUCCUUGCUCAGGAGCCAAGCUGAGGGACGAGGACCUGAGCAGAGACGCUGUCCUCCGGGCGAGUCGCUUCUGUGUCUCUCUGCUGUAUGAAUCAUUGAUAUUUCGUGGACGCCUCUGUGAGCUUCCUCUCCUGAAGCUGUGGACAUGGGGCUUCACGUUUCUUCUGCUUUUUAUUAUCUAUAUUUUCUAGUCCUGUUCA